AUUGAACGCUGGCGGCAGGCCUAACACAUGCAAGUCGAACGGCAGCACAGAAGAGCUUGCUCUUUGGGUGGCGAGUGGCGGACGGGUGAGUAAUGUCUGGGAAACUGCCCGAUGGAGGGGGAUAACUAUUGGAAACGGUAGCUAAUACCGCAUAACGUCGCAAGACCAAAGUGGGGGACCUUCGGGCCUCACACCAUCGGAUGUGCCCAGAUGGGAUUAGCUAGUAGGUGGGGUAAUGGCUCACCUAGGCGACGAUCCCUAGCUGGUCUGGGAGGAUGACCAGCCACACUGAAACUGAGACACUGUCCAGACGCCUACGGGAGGCAGCAGUGGGGAAUAUUGCACAAUGGGCGCAAGCCUGAUGCAGCCAUGCCGCGUGUAUGAAGAAGGCCUUCGGGUUGUAAAGUACUUUCAGCGGGGAGGAAGGCGGUGAGGUUAAUAACCUUGCCGAUUGACGUUACCCGCAGAAGAAGCACCGGCUAACUCCGUGCCAGCCGCCGCAGUAA
rnacentral:rRNA from 1 species